GCAGCAGGGCAGAUGAUCGCCGGCCUUUUGAACAGGCCGGAGGAAAGUCCGAACUCCGCAGGGCAGGAUGGUCGCUAACGGCGACUGGGGGUGACCCUAAGGAAAGUGCCACAGAAAAUAUACCGCCCUUCCGGUUUACGGAAGUCCCAUGGGGAUUCGAGUUUGACUCGAAGGUAAGGGUGAAAAGGCGAGGUAAGAGCUCACCAGUUUUCCGGGUGACCGGGAAAGCUUGGUAAACCCCAUCCGGAGCAAGACCAAAUAGGAAAGCGUUAAGGGCGGCCCGCCCGUGCUUUCGGGUAGGUUGCAAGAGGCAGCGGGCAACCGCUGUCCCAGAGGAAUGAUCAUCACCUCCUUGCGGGUGACCGGAAGGAGGAACAGAAUUCGGCUUAUACCCGGCUGCAACU
rnacentral:RNase_P_RNA from 1 species